UUCCUCAAAUAUGUGAGGGGAAGGGAGCGGUGACUUCCUAAAGGAAAGUAUUUAUAUUUUUAGACUGAACUAGGCUGUUACAAAGCUUUUCUCCAAAAACACAUUUCAAAAAGGAGUGUUCUAAACAAUAGAAAAUGUAUCUUAACGCAUAGUUAAGAGCACCAAGAAAGUGCUUCUGGAUGUUGGAAUGUCAGCCUCGACUCCGCUUCUUUCUGAACUCGCUUGUUCUGCUUCGGGCUCCCAUGUCAGCAGUGUCGUGGAGAGCUCGUCUGUGUGAGGGGACAGCAUCCCGGCCAGGCCGUGGAUGGUGGCCCGGGAGGAGGAAGUGUGAGCGGGUCAAGAGAGAGAGAAGGCAUGAGAGAGGCACUCUGCUCGGAUGACACAGCCCACACUGUUUUGCCACAGAUUUGUGGUGUAUCACAGCUCCAGGGAGUCCUGGAGGUCACCCAGGCCAGGGUUUCUCAUGUUGUUGACCAUGUGCACCAGGAGGUGAGGCCUGGGAAUCCACCUACUUAGUGGCUCAGGAGAGCUGGCCCAAUAACCAGCUGGUACAGAGGCCUCAUUUCAUCGAGGAGCAGUCUGGACUGGAGAGGCCACAGGACUCGGAACAGCACCAGUUUGAAAGCAGAGCCCAUUUGAGACGUGGCUUAAAGAGGGACACCAUGCUGUCCAAACGUGGGUGUAGACAGAGCAGACACAGCCUCUUUUAUCUGCUUAUUGUGACUCUGGGAAGACAGCUCCCCAACCCCUCCAUUCCUCAUUUGUUCAUCUUGAAACCCAUUAAGAGGGCACAAAACCUUUAUGUCACAGUGGCAGAUAAGAUGUGAAUGAUUCUUAGAAAGAUGUAAGAGGUUGCCAACUGUCCCGCUGCUCUUUUCAGAAGGAAGAAGACAUUAACUAUUUACUCCUAGAACACCUGGG
rnacentral:lncRNA from 1 species